rnacentral:rRNA from 1 species
AACGCGAAGAACCUUACCUGGUCUUGACAUCCACGGAAGUUUUCAGAGAUGAGAAUGUGCCUUCGGGAACCGUGAGACAGGUGCUGCAUGGCUGUCGUCAGCUCGUGUUGUGAAAUGUUGGGUUAAGUCCCGCAACGAGCGCAACCCUCGUUCCAUGUUGCCAGCGGGUUAUGCCGGGGACUCAUGGGAGACUGCCGGGGUCAACUCGGAGGAAGGUGGGGAUGACGUCAAAUCAUCAUGCCCCUUAUGUCUUGGGCUUCACGCAUGCUACAAUGGCCGGUACAAUGGGUUGCGAUACUGUGAGGUGGAGCUAAUCCCUAAAAGCCGGUCUCAGUUCGGAUUGGGGUCUGCAACUCGACCCCAUGAAGUCGGAGUCGCUAGUAAUCGCAGAUCAGCAACGCUGCGGUGAAUACGGGGUCUUGUACACACCG